rnacentral:lncRNA from 1 species
UCUCAACAAUCCCAUCAUUUCCCACUUCCUUGCAGCCAAUAAAAAAAAGAGGACAAAGUAUUCCCUUUCUCUUCUUCCUUCUCUCUCUCUCCCAAAGUUCCUUCUUCUCUGCAAUAACCUUGAACGAGCACCAAAGCUCGUAGAUCGACCCCAAAAACCACACCGUUGUGUUCAUCUCACCUCCACGAGCACAACCAUACCAACCAAACUCAGAAUGGACUAAUUUUGACUCGCUAACUCGAAAGGUCCAAAUCGAACGAGUUUUAGAUCGACAUGUUUUCGACCAAGUAACGGUGUUUUAGGACUCGGGAAAGCUCUUUCACAACUCCCCGAGACUCCUAGACUAGUUUUGGUGAGGAGCUGACGUAAAAAACUCGAGGUUUCGAAGAGUUGAGUUUUGGCCUUACAUUUCGAGGCAUUUUCUGGCCACCUCCGUCCAUUUUUUGGACUCCAAAAAGGUAUAACGCGAUUCUACUCUUCAUAAACUUCAUUUCCAUAUAAAUUUUGUGAAAAAUGGUUAAGAAAUGAAGAAGAUAUGAAAGUUUUAAAAUUUUCCUAAAAACUGGCGAAAUUUUCCAGUUUCUGGCAAGUUCAGACGACGGUGACUGGUAAGGAUCACCGGAGAAGAUGAAGGAAUAUUCUGUGAAAGUUGACAAAAUAUUCUAACGUCGUCAGGUAACGCCGUUAACUUCUGUUACCUUUUAACGGAAUAUUCUUAACAACCGUUAGGCCUCUGACAGUCUCUCCCCGAGCCUUCCCACGACUGCGCACCUUGUCACUGUUUAGUUAAAUUAGUUCUAGUUUAGUUUUAAUUUAUUCACAUAUUCACAUCACUUACUCUUAUAGUUACGUCACCUCACGGUGACGACCAGUAUGCUUCGAUCUUCUAGGGCUCGGGUGUGUCAGCUUGGUAUUAGAGUAUAGGUUUAGACAUUCUUGCACUUCCUAGUAUGUUUUAACUCUUGUUUUCAUAUGUUAGAACCAUGCCACCUCGUAGAGAGUCACGUGCCUCUUCUGAGAAUAAUUUUCCGGACUUUGGGCAAUUUUGUGAGGCUAUUGCUAGUACUUUUCAAUCUGCACUUCGUCGUCCCCAGAGGAACACCUUGGAUACUGUAUCCCACCUGAAGAUAAAUGAUUUCUUUGGCAAUGAAGCAUCGGAUAAAUUCGAGAUUUGGCCCGAUCAUUUUGAGAAAACCUUUUGAGUCAUGGAGCGGCAGUAAAAUCUUCCAUUAGAAAGAUGGGUCGAGACAGUGCCCUGGUUUUUUCAUUUGGGAGCAAAAUUUCGGUGGAUUUAGGAGUCACGUCCAUUGUCUGCCAUGAAUUAGGACAUUUUCAAGCGUCUAUUUCAAGUUAGAUUCAUACCUUCAGAGUACUUGGAUAGUAAAAAUGAUGAAUUCUCAUAUCUGAGGCAGGGUAAGAUGUUAGCCACUGAAUAUCAUCGAAAGUUCACGGAUUUAUCCCAUUGAUGUCCCAAGAUUCCCACGAAUCCUAGGGAGAUGCUUCAUCUUUUUAAGAGGGGAACUCGCAAGAAACUGCGUUUUAUGGCAACCACUACUCCAUGCACUACCUAUCAAGAAUUCUUCGAGGUUUUGCUUCGGGUUGAAGAUUCGGAGAAUGCUCCUGAUGAUGAGGAUGAGAAUGAUGAUAGGAAUGCCCAAUAGAACAAAAAUAGAGGGCAGUCAUCCAUGGGUCCUCGAAUGACUCAAAACUUUAAAAGAAGCGGAAACAUCUCUGGAUCGUUCAGCGGAGGUUCGAACCCUGGUACACCUCGGAGAGGUAGCAGAUCCACUGGCAAUUCUCAUUUUCAAAGUCAAUGAAACUCCAGCAAUUCUAGUGCUCAGCAUUGUCGUAGUUGCAACACCCGUUAUUUUGGCGAGUGUAAGAGCAAAACAGAUGAUGCUUCACUUGCAGCCAGAUAGGGCACAUGGCUAAUAAUUGUCCUCAGAACCAGAAGAAUCAGCCUGCUAUUCUACCACCUGUAGCCCCCUACAACAGUUUCCAGCACUUGGUACUCAUCAGCAGACAGGCUAUGGUGAAGUUUUUUACUGUCAGGGAGAUGUAGCCCAGUACUAGAGAGGACCAUACCAGUACACACAUGAGGUUCCUUACUACCAUGGAGGCUAUCAGCAGUUUCAGGGAGACUAUACGCCAUAUCGGGGUGGUGGAUCACAUAUGUAUAUUGAAGGGCAUUAUCAAAACCUAGAUAUAGCAUCUAGUAAUUAAGGCUCAAGCAGGCAGGCAAAUCCACCUAACUAAGGUUGAGGCAAUCAAGGUCCAAGUAAUCAGACUCAAGCAAACAGGGGUCUCGAAGGCAGGCAGAAUGCUUAGGCUAAUUUGGACUUGAUUAUGGGUACGUUGAUGUUCUAGGCCACAUUGCUAAAAUUUUAAUUGACUUAAGUGCUACACAUUCAAUUAUUUCCUAUAAGUUUUCUUAAACAACUCAACCACACCCCACUUCCCUCGGCUACGAGUUGGAGUUCUCGAUGCCUAGAGGUGAAGUUUGCUACAUUAGCUGGGAAUAUCAAGCAUGCCCUGUCCUUAUCGAAGAUACAGUCAUGCCGAUUAAUCUUGUUCCUUUGGAUAUCGUUGACUUUGACGUUAUCUUGGGCAUGGAUUGGUUACACUACAAUUGUGAUAAGUUGGAUUGUUAUCAAAAGAUUAUUACCUUUCACUGACCGGACAUGCUUAUUGUCACGUUUGUUGGUGAACAUAGUGGUAUAAAGCAUGGAGUUAUGACUGCCAUAAGGGCGAGGCGACUGUUGAAUAAAGGUUGUCAAGGAUACUUAACUAAUGUGGUGCUAAUGGAAGAGACUAUUGCAUCUGUAGAAGACGUUGGAGCAGUCAAACACUUUCUGGACUUUUUUCUUGAGGAUUUACCUGGCUUACCACCAAACCGCGAAGUGGAGUUCACCAUCGAUCUACUUCCAAGUACUAAUCCUAUUUAUCUUACAUUUUACCGUAUGGCUCAUGUAGAGUUAAGGGAACUUAAAACCCAAUUACAAGAACUUGUUGAUAAUGGUUUCAUUCAGCCAAACACUUCCAUUUGGGGAGCCCCAGUCUUGUUCGUAAGGAAGAAUGACGGAACUUUGAGGCUAUGCAUUGAUUACAAGCAGUUGAAUCGGGUGAUGAUUAAAAAUCGUUAUCCAUUACCUUGUAUCGCUGAUGUCUUCGACCAGCUUAGAGGUGCCCAUGUGUUCUCGAAGAUUGACCUAAGGUCUAGUUAUUACCAGUUGAAGAUCAGAAGCAACGACGUUCCGAAAAUAGCUUUCAGAACUCGAUUGAUAAUUAUGAGUUUCUUGUGAUGUCGUUCGGGUUGACUAAUGCACCAAUAACUUUUAUGGACCUGAUGAAUUGGGUAUUUCGUUUGUACCUCGACAUGUUCGUUAUUGUUUUCAUCGAUGACAUUUUGGUGUAAUCUAAAAGCGAGGCUGACCAUGCUAAGCAUUUGCGUCUAGUCUUGAAAAAGCUAAGGGAUAAUCAACUGUAUGCUAAGUUCAAUAAAUGCUAUUUCUGGCUGGAUCAAGUGUCAUUCUUAGGGCACAUGAUAUCAGCUCAGGGUGUGCUUGUGGACCCUCAGAAGGAAGCAACAGGGGAAAAUUGGGAGCAACCUCAGAUGGUUACUGAAGUGGGAAGCUUCCUUGGUUUUACUGGCUACUAUCGAUGCUUCGUGAAAGACUUUUUAGCCAUAGCACUACCUCUGACAAAAUUGACUAGAAAAUGAGUUCAGUUCAUAUGGAGUGAAGAUUGUGAACGGAGUUUUCAAUAGUCAAAGUACUUUCUCAUUCACGCUCCUGUCUUAGCACUUCCCGACGAUAGUGGAAACUUCAAGAUCUACAGUGAUGCAUCUCUGUAUGGUCUUGGAUGUGUGUUAAUGCGGUAUGGGAAGGUGAUUGUGUAUGCUUCACACCAGUUAAAGCCUUGUAAGAUGAACUAUCCUACUCAUGAUCUGGAGUUGGCAUCUAUCGUUUUCGUUCUAAAAAUCUAGAGGCAUUAUCUUUAUGGAGAAAAGUGUAAAAUUUCACUGAUCAUAAGAGUUUAAAGUAUAUUUUCACUCAGCAAAAGCUUAACCACCGGCAGCGGAGUUGGGUGGAGUUGCUCAGUGAUUAUGACUGCACAAUCGGGUAUCACCCCGAUCGUGCGAAUACUGUAGGUGAUGCCCUCAGCAGGAAAUCUCACGGCAGACUUAAUGCUCUUUAUGCAAGUAGUAUUCCUCUUUUGAUUGACCUAAGGUCUACAAGGGUUACUUUGAAAAUGGAUCGACGUGGAGCUUUACUUGCCAGCUUUCAAGUCAUACCGGUUCUGCUGGAUCGUGUUCUCGAAGCCUAGAUGCAUGAUGCUGAAUCUCAGGAGUUGUUACAGGCAGUGUUAGAUGGAAAAAAAAACUUCAGGAUUCGAAGGCCUGAUGGUAUGCUGAUGCAAGGUGAUCAGAUAUGUAUGAUGAAUGUUCAUGAGCUAAAGAAAGAGAUACUGGAUGAAGCCCAUAUUUCUGCUUACGCGAUGCAUCUCGGGAGUACCAAGAUGUAUCAUACCAUCUGACCCUUCUACUGCUGGCCAUGCAUGAAAAGAGAAAUUGCAGAGUAUGUUAGUCGUUGUGUAGUUUGUCAGCAAGUCAUGGCGGAAAGGAAUAAGCCAUUUAGGUUGCUACAACCACUCCCGAUACCUAGUGGAAAUGGGAAGAUAUUACAAUGUAUUUCUUGUACAAGUUACCUCGCACACGAAAUGGUUACGACAGUAUCUGGGUGAUAGUUGAUCAACUUACCAAGUCAGCACACUUCAUACUCGUUCAUGAAAAUUACUUGUUGAGUCAGUUGGCCGAGUGGUUUAUCUCUGAAGAUGUUAAGUACCAUGGUGUUCCAAUUAGUAUCAUUUCUGACCGGGACCUUUGAUUCACUUUGAAGUUCUGGGUAGCUUUCCAAUAAGCUUUGGGAUCGAGACUACUCUAUAGCACUACCUAUCAUCCUCAAACUGAUGGGCAAUCAGAGAGAACUAUCCAGACAUUGGAGGAUAUGUUAAGAUCAUUAGUUCUACAGUUCGGAGACGCUUGGCACAAGCAAUUACUGUUGAUAGAGUUCGCCUACAAUAACAGCUUCCAUUCUAGCAUUGGUAUGGCACUAUUUGAAGCGUUGUAUGGAAAACCAUGUUGUACCCUUCUGUGUUGGUCCGAAGUUGGUGAAAGAGUUUUAGUGGGCCCUAAAAUCAUGGAUAAGAUGACGUAGAACAUUCAGGUGAUAAAGGCUAACCUGAAAACAGCCCAGGACCAGCAGAAAAGUAUCGCCGACAAACAUUCCACCGAAAGAGUUUAUAAGGUUGGUGAUUGGGUAUUCUUGAAGCUAUCACCAUGAAAAGGUGUUGUACGAUUCGAAAAGAAAUGGAAGCUCAGCCCUAGGUACAUCGGACCGUACCAGAUCGUUGAGCAAGUUGGCGAAAUUGCCUAUCCACUCGCUUUACCACCAGAGUUGUCGAAAAUAUAUAAUAUGUUCCAUGUGUCGAUACUACAUAGAUAUGUCUUUGAUCCGUCACAUGUGAUCCCUCAUCAGCCACUAGAGAUCAAUCUAGAUUUGACUUAUGACGAGGUACCAGUGACGAUUCUCGAUUGGAAGGACAAAGUUCUCAAAAAUAAGACUGUUUGAUUGGUGAAAGUCUUGUGGAGGAACCACUCAGUUGAGGAAGCUACUUGGGAGACAGAAGAACGCAUGCGAUAUAUGUAUCCACGUCUGUUAUUUGAUUAUGAUCUCUAGUCAGUGUUGAAAUUUCAGGGAUGAAAUUUUCUUAAGGGGGUAGGUUGUGAUGACCCGUUCCCAAUUUUCUAUGUAAUUUCUCCCCGAGUAUAUGAAUUGACAUUUAUGCCCUUGUUGGCAAGCGUUGUGGACAUGUUUAUUUGUUCUUAAAUUAUUUUUCUCACUAUCAUAAUUAAAUUGUACUCGUUACUAUGAACACGUGGGCCCGCGUUAGACUCGAAUCGGACUUGUAACGUUAAAGUUACGCUCUAUCAAAGUACAACGAUAACAAGUAGAUUUGUACAUGCAUGUGUAUUAAAUUAUUAGUGUUAGAAACAAUGUGCUGGAUAGAUUUUCGGAUUCUUUUUACUGUAGGAAAUUUGAAAACCCAUAUCCUUAGUUUUCUUUUUAACCCAACCCGUACCUUCCCUUUUGUCACUCACCAAUCAACUUUCCCUCAAACCUCUCACCAAUCCCAUCAUCUAUCACUUCCCUGCAGCCAAUCAGAAAAAAAAGGAAAAAGCAUUCUCUCUCUCUUCUUCCACUCUCCCAAAGUUCCUUCUUCUCUGCAACAACCUUGAACAAACACCAAAGCUCGUAGAUUGACCACAAAAACCACACCGUUGUGUUCAUUUCAGCUCCACGAACAUAACCAUACCAACCAAACUCAGAAUGGACAAGUUUUGACUCGCUAACUCGGAAGGUCCGAAUCGGAUGAGUUUUAGAUCGACGUGUUUUCGACCAAGUCACGGUGUUUUAGGACUCGGGGAAGCUCUCUCACAACUCCCCGAGAUUCCUAGACUAGUUUUGGUGAGGAGUUGAAGUCCAAAACUCGAGGUUUCGAAGAGUUGAGUUUUGGCCAUACCUUUCGAGGCAUUUUUAGGCCACCUCUGUCCACUUUUUGGACUCCAAAAAGGUAUAACGCGAUUCUACUCUUCAUAAGCUUCAUUUCCAUAUAAAGUUUGUGAAAAAUGGUUGAGAAAUGAAGAAGAUAUGAAGGUUGGAAAUUUUUUCCAGAAACCGGAGAAAUUUUCCAGUUUCUGGCGAGUUCAGAAUGUGGCGAACGGCGGCUACUAGUGAAGAUCACCGGAGAAGACGGCGGAAUAUUCCGUCAAAGUUGACGGAAUAUUCUAACGCCUUUAACGUAUGUUACCUUUUAACGUAAUAUUCCUAACGGUCGUUAGGCCUCCGUCAGUUUUUGCCUACGUGUGGUGCCGCGUAUGGCCGUGCCAUAGCCGGCGCGUGGUGGCUUGUCUGGCGUCCAAAAAUUAUUCUAAAAAUUUGUGUAGGUCCGUGAUGUCAAGUAGAUCGAUUUCAUAUAUUUAAACCCUAGGUUUAAGCAAACUAUGGGGGUUUUAUUUAAGUUUCCAUAUAUGUGUUUAAUUAAUUUAAAUAUAGUUAUUUCACAUAUAGGGGAAAUGUAUCCUGAGGACUUGAGGGGUUAGGCAAGGAUCGGGGGUUACGAUUCGAUGACGUAUUUGUGAGUGGGCAGUUUGUUUUUAUACCUAUAAAUAGUUACAGUUUCCAUAAAUGCGUAUUUACUUCAUUUUUACACUUAUAUUGCCAAGUAUCGUUAUUGUGAUAUUAAUUGUGAUAAAUGCUAGUAUAUGGUUGGGAUAUUAUUGUCAUGACAUUCACGUAUAUUUGUACAUGCUCAUCUUGCUGCACCCUAGUGUUAGUACUCGCCCUAAGGCCAGGGCCAGUCCUUCACGUGUAUGUUCACAUCCGCACCGUUCGCUCGCCUUGGAUCCAAGUUAGGUGCCAGUCCUGUCGUUCAAAUUGCAUUAGGCAAUGGCGACUCGUUUGUGACUGUGCUUCUGCACCAACCUUCACAUGAUCGUAAUACUAGAGCGUAUUGAUUACAUCUAGUCCUGUUCGUGUCAGAGAUUAUCUGUAUGAACUCAUGUGUCAACUUAGAUAGAUGAACAAUUGAUUAUACUUGAUUAUCACAUGAUUAUAUUACUGUGGCAUUUGAUAUAUCAUGAUUUGGCAUAUUUCUAGCUAUAUUGCUAUUAUACUAUUGUUUACAUACUUACGUAAUAUGUUUUAAGGAAACUAUACUUGUUUUACAGCGAAGGGUUACUAUAUUUGAAAUUAAAGGUUUUUCUUACAAACGUUGUUUUGCUGAUCCACUCAACUUUGUUUUUCGCCCCUCCAG